rnacentral:rRNA from 1 species
GACGAACGCUGGCGGCGUGCUUAACACAUGCAAGUCGAACGGAAAGGCCCUGCUUUUGUGGGGUGCUCGAGUGGCGAACGGGUGAGUAACACGUGAGUAACCUGCCCUUGACUUUGGGAUAACUUCAGGAAACUGGGGCUAAUACCGGAUAGGAGCUCCUGCUGCAUGGUGGGGGUUGGAAAGUUUCGGCGGUUGGGGAUGGACUCGCGGCUUAUCAGCUUGUUGGUGGGGUAGUGGCUUACCAAGGCUUUGACGGGUAGCCGGCCUGAGAGGGUGACCGGCCACGUUGGGACUGGAAUACGGCCCAGACUCCUACGGGAGGCAGCAGUGGGGAAUAUUGCACAAUGGGCGGAAGCCUGAUGCAGCAACGCCGCGUGCGGGAUGACGGCAUUCGGGUUGUAAACCGCUUUCGCCUGUGACGAAGCGUGAGUGACGGUAAUGGGUAAAGAAGCACCGGCUAACUACGUG